CCUACGGGGGGCAGCAGUGGGGGAUAUUGCACAAUGGGGGGAACCCUGAUGCAGCAACGCCGCGUGGGUGAAGAAGGUCUUCGGAUCGUAAAACCCUGUUGUUAGAGAAGAAAGUGCGUGCGAGUAACUGUUCCCGUUUCGACGGUAUCUAACCAGAAAGCCACGGCUAAAUACGUGCCAGCCGCCGCGGUAAUACGUAGGUGGCAAGCGUUAUCCGGAUUUAUUGGGCGUAAAGGGAACGCAGGCGGUCUUUUAAGUCUGAUGGGAAAGCCUUCGGGUUAACCGGAGUAGUGCAUUGGAAACUGGGAGACUUGAGUGCAGAAGAGGAGAGUGGAACUCCAUGUGUAGCGGUGAAAUGCGUAGAUAUAUGGAAGAACACCAGUGGCGAAAGCGGCUCUCUGGUCUGUAACUGACGCUGAGGUUCGAAAGCGUGGGUAGCAAACAGGAUUAGAUACCCCUGUAGUC
rnacentral:rRNA from 1 species